GAGGAAUAUUGGACAAUGGAGGGAACUCUGAUCCAGCCAUGCCGCGUGCAGGAAGACUGCCCUAUGGGUUGUAAACUGCUUUUAUACGGGAAGAAACGCCCCCACGUGUGGGGGUCUGACGGUACCGUAAGAAUAAGGACCGGCUAACUCCGUGCCAGCAGCCGCGGUAAUACGGAGGGUCCGAGCGUUAUCCGGAAUCAUUGGGUUUAAAGGGUCCGUAGGCGGGCAGCUAAGUCAGUGGUGAAAGUCUGUGGCUCAACCAUAGAAUUGCCAUUGAAACUGGUUGUCUUGAAUCGUUGUGAAGUGGUUAGAAUGAGCAGUGUAGCGGUGAAAUGCAUAGAUAUUGCUCAGAAUACCGAUUGCGAAGGCAGAUCACUAACAACGUAUUGACGCUGAGGGACGAAAGCGUGGGGAGCGAACAGG
rnacentral:rRNA from 1 species